GCAUAAAGUCUUAUUGAAGUUCGGGUUUUUUCUAUUCCAGAUAUGGUUCAUCUCAAGGCCAUUUACACUUUGGAGCCAGGCCUGUUCAGUUUUACAAAUAGCACAGGUAAGUAUUGAUGGUUUGUGCUUUCUUAGGGAGUAUAUUUAGAUGGCCACUUGAUGAUGAACAAUGUGAAAGACAAGCAUAUGGCUGAGCUGUGGUGAUGUCAUCUCACUACUGAGAAGUGGGCUGAAGAAAGAAGGUGCUGAGGUGGCUGUGAUUACAUUUUAAAAUGACAUAGUUUCUGUUUCCAGGUUACUGUGACAACAUGAAGAGUUGAAGGUACCUCCCAGGAUGAUUGCAGAUUUUCCCGGUGGUGAGUCUCCGGCAUUCAAAGGUUAGAUUAUUUUGCAUUGGGUUUGUUCACUAGGUUGGCUGUUUCUAUGAUGAAUCAAACUAGCUCACUAUGACUGCUAAUGAAAACACAGGAACACCUGAGAAACGGAAAGGUAGCAUGUGGGGGCAAGAGCACUUAUAUCCAGCCUUUUCAACCUUGGCUAUUUUUCUCCAGGUUCUGUUAGUGCCAUACUUGUUGGUUUACAGGUGAGUAAUUCAAGCAUGUGGUGUGGUGUAUGUGCAUAGUAUUGGAC
ensembl:processed_transcript